UUAUGUGUGUGAGGAAAGUCCGAGCCCCACAGAGCAGGAUAGCGGUUAACGACCGCCGAGGGUGACCUUAGAGAAAGUGCAACAGAGAGAUACCGCCGCACCUCGGUGCGGUAAGGGUGGAAAGGCGAGGUAAGAGCUCACCGGCCGACCGGAGACGAAUCGGCCCUGCAAACCUUAUCCGGAGCAACGCUGACUACGGCAAUACAUUGGCUCGAUGUGCCGUGAAAAGCGGCUUGAGCGGGCAGGCAACUGUCCGUCGAGAUAGAUAGUCGUCCACGACAGAACUCGGCUUAUCGGUAAACUC
rnacentral:RNase_P_RNA from 1 species